UACGUAGGGUGCAAGCGUUUGUCCGGAAUUAUUGGGCGUAAAGAGCUCGUAGGCGGUCUGUCGCGUCGGCUGUGAAAACCCGUGGCUCAACCUCGGGCCUGCAGUCGAUACGGGCAGACUAGAGUGCGGUAGGGGAGACUGGAAUUCCUGGGUGUAGCGGUGAAAUGCGCAGAUAUCAGGAGGAACACCGGUGGCGAAGGCGGAUCUCGUGGACAGUUCCUGGACACUGAGGCACGAAGGCCAGGGGAGCAAACGGG
rnacentral:rRNA from 1 species